GUGCUCACUCUGGCAGCACAUAGACUACAAUUGGAGCGAUAUGGAGAAUAUUAGUAUGGCCCCUGCACAAGGAUGAUACAUGAUCCUUGGAAUCUUAAAAAAAAUCA